UCCUAAAAAGCUAGCCCAUCCCCCACAAAACUACCCCCUAUAUUAACUCCCCUUUAGAUCAACCAACAAACCAUUUUACCUCCCCAGUACCCGGGCGACAGAAAAGGAUAACUGGAGCAAUAGAAAAAGUACCGCAAGGGAAAGCUGAAAGAGAAAUGAAACAACUACCCCAAGCCACAAGAAGCAGAGAUAAGCCCUCGUACCUUUUGCAUCAUGACCUAGCCAGUAUGCCUGAGCACAGAGAACUUUAGUUCAGCCCCCCGAAACUAGACGAGCUACUUCAAGACAGCCUAUGCUGGGCAAACCCGUCUCUGUUGCAAAAGAGUGGGACGAUCUUCAAGUAGAGGUGAUAAGCCUACCGAGCCUAGUUAUAGCUGGUUGUCUGAGAAGUGUAUAUAAGUUCAGCCUCCCGACUCCCCCCAUCCAGGACGCCCACGUUUCCUAAGACUGAGUGUGACCGAGAGAGUUAGUCAAAGAGGGUACAGCCCCUUUGAAAAAGGACACAACCUCACCGGGAGACUAAAGAUCAUAAUUAACCCAAGGAAGCUUGUUUUAGUGGGCCUAAAAGCAGCCACCUAUGAAGAAAGCGUUAAAGCUCAUACAAACUCCGACCAUCAAUACCGAACCCGACUCUACACUCCCCACCCACUACCGGACCCUCCCACGAACCCUGGGAAAGACCCUGCUAGGAUGAGUAAUAAGAGGGACUGCCCCUCUCCCCCACACAUGUGUACAUUGGAACGGACCCACCACCAAUAAUUAACGAUCCCCCAUCCGAGGGAAAUGUAGUACCACCCGAAUAUUAAGAAAGGCAAACACAAUUUAUCGUUGACCCAACACAGGUGUGUGUACUGGGAAAGACUUAGACGAAGGGAAGGAACUCGGCAAACACAAGCCUCGCCUGUUUACCAAAAACAUCGCCUCUUGCAAAGCAAACGAAUAAGAGGUCCCGCCUGCCCUGUGACUAUAUGUUUAACGGCCGCGGUAUUUUGACCGUGCAAAGGUAGCGCAAUCACUUGUCUCUUAAAUGGAGACCUGUAUGAAAGGCACCACGAGGGCUUAGCUGUCUCCCCUCUAAAGUCAAUGAAAUUGAUCUCCCCGUGCAGAAGCGGGGAUGGACUCGUAAGACGAGAAGACCCUAUGGAGCUUAAGACACAAAGCGGCCCAUGUGAAACACACCCCUCCGAAGGGGCUGAAUGAAAUGAGCCCCGCUGGAAUGUCUUCGGUUGGGGCGACCGCGGGGAAAGACAAAACCCCCGCAUGGAUGGGGCUACUACUCCCCCUAGAACCUAGACCCACAGGUCAAACCAACAGUACUUCUGACCACCAAAGAGCCGGCAAUGCCGAUCAACGGACCGAGUUACCCUAGGGAUAACAGCGCAAUCCCCUCCCAGAGCCCUUAUCGACAAGGGGGUUUACGACCUCGAUGUUGGAUCAGGACAUCCUAAUGGUGCAGCCGCUAUUGAGGGUUCGUUUGUUCAACGAUUAAUAGUCCUACGUGAUCUGAGUUCAGACCGGAGCAAUCCAGGUCAGUUUCUAUCUACGCAUUGACCUUUUCUAGUACGAAAGGACCGAAAAGGAGAGGCCUCUGUUAACGACACGCCUCACCCCCCACUAAUGAACACAAAUAAAAUAGAAGGGGGACAAGCUCCCAAGCCCAAAAGAAGGGCAA
rnacentral:rRNA from 1 species